CACCGCGGUUAUACGAGUGACCCUAAUUAAUAUUUACCCGGCGUAAAGAGUGGUUUAAGGAAAAAUCUUUAAAAAUUAAAGUUGAGAUCCUAUUAAGCUGUUAUACGCUCUCAUAGGAGGAAUUAUCAAUAACGAAAGUAACUUUAUUAAAUCAGAUAACUUGAUGCCACGAUAGUUGGGCCC
rnacentral:rRNA from 1 species